AUUGAACGCUGGCGGCAGGCCUAACACAUGCAAGUCGAACGAGUGGCGGACGGGUGAGUAAUGUCUAGGAAACUGCCUGAUGGAGGGGGAUAACUACUGGAAACGGUAGCUAAUAACGCAUACCAUCAGAUGUGCCCAGCUGGACAUAGCUUGUUGGGGGGGUAACGGCGCACCAAGGCGACGCUCCCUAGCUGGUCUGAGAGGAUGACCAGCCACACGGGAACUGACACACGGUCCAGACUCCGACGGGAGGCAGCAGUGGGGAAUAUUGCACAAUGGGCGCAAGCCUGAUGCAGCCAUGCCGCGUGUAUGAAGAAGGCAUUCGGGUUGUAAAGUACUUUCAGCGGGGAGGCGUUACCCGCAGAAGAAGCACCGGCUAACUCCGUGCCAGCAGCCGCGGUAAUUC
rnacentral:rRNA from 1 species